CCUACGGGUGGCAGCAGUGAGGAAUAUUGGUCAAUGGACGAGAGUCUGAACCAGCCAAGUAGCGUGAAGGAUGACUGCCCUAUGGGUUGUAAACUUCUUUUAUAAAGGAAUAAAACGAGGCACGUGUGCCUUUGUGCAUGUACUUUAUGAAUAAGGAUCGGCUAACUCCGUGCCAGCAGCCGCGGUAAUACGGAGGAUCCGAGCGUUAUCCGGAUUUAUUGGGUUUAAAGGGAGCGUAGAUGGGUUGUUAAAUCAGUUGUGAAAGUUUGCGGCUCAACCGUAAAAUUGCAAUUGAUACUGGCAGUCUUGAGUACAGUUGAGGUAAGCGGAAUGCGUGGUGUAGCGGUGAAAUGCUUAGAUAUCACGAAGAACCCCGAUUGCGAAGGCAGCAUACUAAACUGUGACUGACAUUGAUGCUCGAAAGUGUGGGUAUCAAACAGGAUUAGAUACCCUUGUAGUC
rnacentral:rRNA from 1 species